GGAGAUAAUCAAGUCAUAGCCAACUCUUCUGGAAGGGUAAUGGAUUCACUGGAUUACAGUCUGGUCUAAGAAUCUCAAAUUCAGAAACUAUGAAACUUCAAUGUGGCUGAAGAACUGUUAUCCCUCUGCAGUACAUGGGGGUUUGAGCUCACGUCAACGUGCCUGACCUAAGGGCAAAUGGAGCUGAGCAGGAGGGAGAAUUAGACACCUGCCUCUACUUGCCACGGCUUGGAGACAGGGUCUACUGCUCUUGGCUGAACCAGAGGAAAGAAAACACUGGCUCCUGAAACGUCGCAGGAAGACAAGGUGAGAGCUGCUGACUGCCCAUCACUACUCACAGCA
rnacentral:antisense_RNA from 1 species